UUCCUUACAUCAGAGUGGGGUUUCUGUUUAUAUUUUAGUUUAAUUUAUAAGCCAUCUCUCCGCCUACUCUCCUCCCCUUCUCCUGCUCUAUUUUGGAUAAAGUGGCUGGGAGAGCAGUCAGGUCUGAUUAAGUCGGCGUUUGGGUACAGUGUGUUCCUGGACACACAUCUGCGAGCGAGCCAUCACACACGCUUCGGAGCACUGGCAGAACACCCAGGCCUGCCGGCAGCUGAUGAUGUCAUCACUCAGAGGGACAGAGCUGGCGAGGAGCCAGACAGACUCUCCGAAAACACACACACACACAGAUUCACAGAGAGAAGACAAAAGAGAAGACAGAGACACUGAAGAUCUGACACAUGAAGAGACAGUCUCAAACAGGAGACAGAUAGGAGACAGACAAUAAGAGGAAUACUCUUUCCUAUGGAUCCUUUAAGACAUAUAUACGUGUGACAUAAUGAAGAGCUUCCUGUGGGGACAGAGACAAAAGGACUGUGAUGAGCCAAUGACUGAGGUCUCAAAAAUAGCAGACAUUGUGCUCAAAAAUGUUUUUGUGCAUUUUCUGAAGGGUUUUCAAAAGGCAGCAACAUCAUUGUCCUUGUACAGAACAGCAUGUUUAAUUCCAACCUGAAAGUAUCCCUCUCUGUGUACUGCUGCAUCAUUAGAGUAAAGAGGUCUCUAAGAGUCAAAUGUCAAUGUGACUAAAGUGGAUGAUGCUCAGUGACCUGUCUCUUGACAUGGACCAGCUUCAUUACAACACCCGCAGUCACCAGAAGGACUGACUCCUCCAACCUUCAAACCUCUGCCUAUCUCCAUGACUGAGCAUUGGCUAGCUAAUACCCUGCUGGAUGUUCUAUCAUCAGACUCUUUCAAACACUGGAGUGGCACAGGCCUGAAAUGUCAACCAUCUGCGUGGGAGGAGAAAGGGGAAAAGUUGGUGCUCUGACACUGAUGAUGGCUUGGUUGAUUGAUUUAGCAAUGAACCUGAGCCCUAGGACCAUACGUCAGGACUACCGGGCAUGACGACUCCCUGCUGUCCCCAGUCCGCCUGGCCUUGCUGCUAUUCCAGUUUCAACUGUUCUGCCUGCGGUUACGGAACCCCUACCUGUCCCAGACCUGCUGUUUUCAACUCUUAAUGAUCGGCUAUGAAAAGCCAACAAAUUUAUUCCUGAUUAUUAUUUGACCAUGCUUGUCAUUUAUGAACAUUUUGAAAAUCUUGUCUCUCUCUAAUUUUCUCCUUCUCUCUUUCUUUCUCUCGGAGGACCUGAGCCCUGGGACCAUACGUCGGGACUGCCGGGCGUGGUGGCUCCUUGCUGUCCCCAGUCCGCCUGGCCUUGCUGCUGUUCCGGUUUCAGCUGUUCUGCCUGCGGUUAUGGAACCCCACCUGUCCCAGACCUGUUGUUUUUCAACUCUUAAUGAUCGGCUAUGAAAGCCAACUGAAAAUUAUCCAUGAUUAUUAUUUGACCAUGCUUGUCACUUAUGAACAUUUUUGAACAUCUUGGCAUAGUUCUGUUAUAAUCUCCACCCGGCACAGCCAUAAGAGGACUGGCCACCCCUCAUAGCCUGGUUCCUCUCUAGGUUUCUUCCUAGGUUUUGGCCUUUCUAGGGAGUUUUUCCUAGCCACCGUGCUUCUACACCUGCAUUCUAGCUGUUUGGGGUUUUAGGCUGGGUCUCUGUACAGCACUUCGAGAUAUUAGCUGAUG